rnacentral:tRNA from 1 species
GGCCACGUGCCCGAGCAGUCAGGGAGCGCUCUGCAAAAGCGCUUUACGCCGGUGCAAAUCCGGCCGUGGCCUCCA